GCGAGUGUGGUGGAACUGGCAGACACGCUAGACUUAGGAUCUAGUGCUGCAAAGCGUGGGGGUUCAAGUCCCUUCACUCGCA
rnacentral:tRNA from 2 species